rnacentral:rRNA from 1 species
AACAGGGAUUACCUCAGUAACGGCGAGUGAAGCGGUAACAGCUCAAAUUUGAAAUCUGGCUCUUUCAGGGUCCGAGUUGUAAUUUGUAGAAGAUGCUUUGGGUGUGGCUCCAGUCUAAGUUCCUUGGAACAGGACGUCAUAGAGGGUGAGAAUCCCGUAUGUGAUUGGUGGCUUUCGCCUGUGUAUAAAGCUCUUUCGACGAGUCGAGUUGUUUGGGAAUGCAGCUCUAAAUGGGUGGUAUAUUUCAUCUAAAGCUAAAUACUGGCCAGAGACCGAUAGCGCACAAGUAGAGUGAUCGAAAGAUGAAAAGCACUUUGGAAAGAGAGUUAAACAGUACGUGAAAUUGUUGAAAGGGAAGCGUUGGCAACCAGACUCGCAGGCCGCUAAUCAUCCGGGGUUCUCCCCGGUGCAUUUGGUGGUUUUCGGGCCAGCGUCGGUUUCGGUGGUGGGAUAAAGGCCUUGGGAACGUAGCUUCUUUCGGGAAGUGUUAUAGCCCUCGGCGCAAUGCCGCCUACUGGGACCGAGGACCGCGCUUCGGCUAGGAUGCUGGCGUAAUGGUUGUCAACGGCCCGUCUUGAAACACGGACCAAGGAGUCUAACAUCUAUGCGAGUAUUUGGGUGUCAAACCCCUAUGCGUAAUGAAAGUGAACGGAGGUAAGAACCCUUCAGGGUGCAUUAUCGACCGAUCUUGAUGUCUUCGGAUGGAUUUGAGUAAGAGCAUAGCUGUUGGGACCCGAAAGAUGGUGAACUAUGCCUAAAUAGGGUGAAGCCAGAGGAAACUCUGGUGGAGGCUCGCAGCGGUUCUGACGUGCAAAUCGAUCGUCAAAUUUGGGUAUAGGGGCGAAAGACUAAUCGAACCU